ensembl:lncRNA
CCCUCAGUAUACCCCAGGUGCCCCAUUCCAGCACAGAUGAAGGCUUGAUGCUGCAGUAAAGGCUUUUUGCUGCACUGCCCCACAGUGAUGCCGGUGUUACUCAGUGCCAGCAGUGCUGCUGUCAAAUGGAUCAGGGAAUCAGGGCUGUGCUGUUGUCCUUAAGGAACACUUUUCAUGAUGGUCUGCUUUUGGAAUUGCUGCCAAAAUACAUCUGGGAGAAAGAAAAUGAAGGAUCAAUGCUGUUUCACACUCAAUCAUGUGGCAUUUCCCAAAUGGUCUGUAGCACAUUAACUGCUCCUAGUGUGCCUUGGGCAAAUGGCUUGUGUUUGUAAUGGUCCCAGUGAAGGAUGGCGCAUUUGACACAGCAAGCCGGGACUAAGGUCACCGCACUUCACCCUGGGUGCAGCUCCUGGGGCUACCAAGUGCCUUCACUCUCCACGUUCUUCACUUGGAUGCUGUCACAGCUGCUUUGAGUAUUUCAGGAGGCCCUGCUUCUGCAGUGUUCACUGCCCCGUUAUGCGUGAGAGCUCCCUUCCCCAUGUUGGGGUUAGCUUCACACACUUAUACGCAGUUUUACAUGCAUGCCAAUGGCCAGGACCAGAGGGCGGGCUCUGUGAUCUCCUCCAGAAGAAGACCCGGGCACACAGGGCAGGAAGGGAGUCGAGCUGCACCUUGUUGGCUGCUCAAAUGGACACUGACCCCAUACAGCGCUGGUGCUGCUGUAUACCCAGCACACAGUCUGAGCUGUGUUUUCACGUGGCACAGAAAAGUCUGUGUAUGUUUCCCAAGCACAUGAUGGGUCUCCAUGGAGGGAAAUCAAUACCAUUAGUAGGGAAACACCGCUUGGUUCCCACUGCCUCCCAGCACCAAUCAAUCUCAGCACAUAGUGCCAUCCCAUCCGCCGACCAGAUGGCAACAUUUAAUGCCUAUAUUUUAUAACCUUUUGUAUGGAAGAGAGGGAAGUGAGCUCUUAGAUAACAGUCCUAAAAACUCAAACUCCCCACGUGUGUCAUUGUCUCCUUUUGGUACCAGUCAUCAGAUUUCACUAUGGAAGCUUGAAAUCUAUGACAGAAACACUGAGAUUGGGCAGAUCUGGGCAUAGCAGCUACAAUUUGCCACCUACUGAAAACUCAGGAAAGCUUUUCCUCCCUUAUAGAAAGCUGCAAAAUCUGAAGACAGCCACACUCUUUCACUGUCACAGAUUAACAGAUGGCUUUACCUGCUGCCCUCGUGAUGUAUCCGAAACUUCCUUUUGUAGCCAAUGUCUUUGAAUGGUAUUAUUCAUACCAAUAAGGGAAAAUAAUAAAAAAUAGCAAUGUUUCU